UUCGGACUGCAGUCUGCAACUCGACUGCACGAAGCUGGAAUCGCUAGUAAUCGCGAAUCAGAAUGUCGCGGUGAAUACGUUCCCGGGUCUUGUACACACCGCCCGUCACACCAUGGGAGUCGGUAACGCCCGAAGUCAGUGACCCAGCCGUAAGGAGGGAGCUGCCGAAGGCGGGACUGGUAACUGGGGUGAAGUCGUAACAAGGUAGC
rnacentral:rRNA from 1 species